rnacentral:rRNA from 1 species
GUAGUGAAGAUGCUACAUUAAAGUGGUUAGACGAGAAGUCCCCAUGGAGCUUUACUGAAAGCUUAAAAAAAAAGUUUUUUAUUUAUUUAUAGGCUAGACAGUUUUGUUGGGGUGAUAGUUUUUUAAAAAGUAACGAAAACGAACUAUGACGCAUGUUUCACUCUGAAAACUUGAAGAGACAUUUGGGGUGUGUUUUAUGAUCUAUUGUUUUGAAUGAAAAAGAUAUGAAAGCAGAUAAAGUUACCCUGGGGAACACCUUUCAUACCGGUCAAA